rnacentral:misc_RNA from 1 species
CGGUUCUGGAUCCUUGCUUCUCACCCUGAGAUGAAUCUCCUUGCUGCAGGUCAUGACAGCGGCAUGAUUGUUUUUAAAUUAGAAAGAGAACGGCCUGCUUUUGCUGUGAGCGGUGAUUCUUUGUUCUAUGCCAAAGAUCGCUUUUUGCGGUUCUUUGAGUUUUCAACUCAAAAAGAUACGCAAGUUAUUCCCAUCCGGCGACCUGGUACCACCAGCCUGAACCAAAGUCCAAGGACACUUUCUUACAGCCCUACAGAGAAUGCUGUUCUUAUUUGCUCAGAUGUGGAUGGUGGAUC